CCGAGGGCGGGACUGGAACCCUCAGCUCUCAGGAGGCGCGGUCCGGGCGACAAAAGGUGCAGCUCUGUCAUUUCCACUCUGCUCUGCUGCACAGCAGGCAGAAGCCCUGGCCGUCCCCUGCUGCGUUCUUCAGGAGAAACGUCAGGGGCCUUCCUCCAAGGUUCUCGAGCCCCACACCCCUGUGGAGGAAGGUGCUCUCCACCGCGGUAGUGGGGGCGCCCCUGCUCCUCGGAGCCCGCUAUGUCAUGGCAGAGGCGCGGGAGAAGAGGAGGAUGCGGCUCGUGGUGGAUGGCAUGGGGCGCUUUGGCAGGUCUCUGAAGGUCGGCCUGCAGAUCUCCCUGGACUACUGGUGGUGCACCAAUGUUGUCCUUCGAGGGGUGGAAGAGCCCAGGCUACUUGGAGGUGAUGUCUGCGUGUCACCAGCGGGCGGCUGAUGCCCUGGUGGCAGGGGCCAUCAGCAACGGGGGCCUCUACGUGAAGCUGGGCCAGGGGCUGUGCUCCUUCAACCACCUGCUUCCCCCCGAGUAUACCCGGACCCUGCGCGUGCUAGAGGACAGGGCCCUCAAGCGGGGCUUCCAGGAGGUGAGUGUGCGCUCAGGCCGAGGGAGGUGGGGCCUCCAGCAGUGGCCCCAGGCUGCUCUGAGCACCCGUCCUUCCAGGUGGACGAGUUGUUCCUUGAGGACUUCCAGGCCCUCCCCCACGAGCUCUUCCAGGAGUUUGACUACCAGCCAAUUGCUGCCGCCAGCCUGGCACAGGUGCACAGAGCCAAGCUGCACGAUGGCACCAGCGUGGCCGUGAAGGUGCAGUACAUCGACCUGCGGGACCGCUUUGAUGGGGACAUCCACACCCUGGAGCUCCUGCUGCGGCUCGUUGAGGUCAUGCACCCCAGCUUUGGCUUCAGCUGGGUCCUCCAGGACCUGAAGGGGACCCUGGCCCAGGAGCUGGACUUCGAGAAUGAGGGCCGCAACGCAGAGCGCUGUGCGCGGGAGCUGGCGCACUUCCCCUACGUCGUGGUGCCCCGCGUGCACUGGGACAAGUCCAGCAA
rnacentral:sRNA from 1 species